rnacentral:piRNA from 1 species
UCACAGAAAACAGUUCGCAAUCCAACUGGU